rnacentral:misc_RNA from 1 species
GUGAGAGUGACCGUACAAGUCGUAUGGAGCCCAGAGGGAAUCCAGAGGGCAGGGUUCCUUCGAGUCCAGCCUCGUCCAUGGCUUUCCACUUCCUGACCAGUGAAGAAGGCUCACCGGACCGGCAUGGAGGUUUCGGCAGCUGCCUUUCACAUUGUCGCCGCCGAGGCCGUGCUGGUUCCACCGGUGUUCAAUGGGCGAAACAUCACCAGCGAACACAAGAAGAAACGGCGGAAGCGAACCGAGCUCGUAGAUCCGAUCGUUUUUCUGAAUCUCCAUCCACCGUUCGAUCCGCUUCGUGUAGCCGGCCCGUCGCCACUUAACGAGAUCUAUAACCAUCACACCGGUGUUAAAGUAACAAGGCUUCCG